rnacentral:lncRNA from 1 species
UUGUGUGGAGUUUUGUUCAAUGGGUGUACCAAAAGUGUUUCCGAAAAUGUCGGUGGCAUAUUCACCUUUAGGAAGCAUUAAACAAAUCUAUUAAAAUGCUUACGAGUUCAUUGAUGAUUUUCAUGUGCUCUCAGGAGUUUGCCAAAUCUUGAUUUCAAAGACAUGACUUUUGCCGCACGCCGAUCACGCAGAAGUAGAGACGCCGGUCAUGGGAGCAUCCUUAGUUAGACACAGCACAAUUGAUGCGGAUACCUGGAGGCGAGCUUGGGCGAUCACUUAUGUAUUUCAUCAACUGAUGUGGUCAAGCGUGGUGUCCUAUUCCGUUAUUAUCUCUAGAUUUUUACAAUACUUUACUUUUAUUGUUUGUGAUAUUUGCUACUAGAUACAAAUCACACCAUAAGCCUCAUAUAUAUCAUGUUGGAGCCUUAUGCCAUUGUUGGCCUAACUAGGCGAUGCUUCACAUCUUCUAAUUUUAUGCAUGUUGCACCAUUACAAAAUUUCAGCAAACAUUUUUUAUUAGUUGAUUUUAAUUCUAUUAGUUUGUCAAUUGCGAUCCUAUUAAUAUAUUGACUCAAAAUUAAAUUAAUAUAAACAUGUGUACCUCUUAACAAGUAACACAUGGGUGAAGGAGAAACCACCAAGCUUGGUGAUGGUCACACUGCACUAAAAAUGAGACUCCCAUGGAGGCAAUGCCACUUGCAGCAGCGACAUGGAUCAGAAUAAUUGUAUUAUUCAUGAUGAGUCCUCAUUAUCACCGUCAACAAAAAC